GCCUACGGGGGGCAGCAGUUUCGAAUCAUUCACAAUGGGCGAAAGCCUGAUGGUGCGACGCCGCGUGAGGGAUGAAGGCCUUCGGGUUGUAAACCUCUGUCACCGGGGAAGAAACGCUUCAAUUUAACAGAUUGAAGCCUGACUUAACCCGGAGAGGAAGCAGUGGCUAACUCUGUGCCAGCAGCCGCGGUAAUACAGAGACUGCAAGCGUUAUUCGAAUUCACUGGGCGUAAAGGGUGCGCAGGCGGCCGGGUGUGUCAGAUGUGAAAUCCCGAGGCUCAACCUCGGAACUGCGUCUGAAACUACUCGGCUAGAGUACUGGAGAGGGAAACGGAAUUCACGGUGUAGCAGUGAAAUGCGUAGAUAUCGUGAGGAACACCAGAGGCGAAGGCGGUUUCCUGGACAGUUACUGACGCUCAGGCACGAAAGCGUGGGGAGCAAAAGGGAUUAGAUACCCCUGUAU
rnacentral:rRNA from 1 species